GUCAGGAAAGUUAAGGAACUCGUCUGAGGCCACACACAGCCGCUCAAGGGCCCGUAGGAUCUGAGCGCCCUUUGCUUCAGGGCAGGUGCCUGCUGUACCACCGUUAGGCUGCCCCGGGAUGACACGGAGGAAAGUGAACCCCUCGGGCAAGAUGCGUGGAUGGAGUUAGAGUUGCUGCUGCAGGACCCCCGCUUCCUGAGCAGCAACCUGUGUAACCUGCACAAGUCUGGGCUUCGGGGCACUCACCUGUAAAACAGCCCGGAAUAGUAGCACCUGCCUUACAGGGUUGUUAGGAGGAUUCCAUAAAACAGGGCUCACUGGACCUGUGGGAACGGACUUGAAGUGGUCUUCAAAGGAAAUGUGCUGCAGAGAGCUGCUGGAGACGCUAAGUGACACGGCAGGCAGGCUCCCAAAGAGCCCAGUUGAAUUCAUACCUUCUAAGCAGUGGAGAGAUAUCACCUACCUGCCUCCUGUGAGUUGUACCUGGAAGAUACCAGCAAAAGAAUCUCCAAGAUAACCACAGAAAGUACACACUUAGAGAAUCAACCUUGCACAUGACUGAACCAGAGAGGACCGGAAUCAGAUCACACGGCAGCAGACAGGUGAAGGCACAGAAAAGAACGGAGAUGCAAAAUUCACCAGUAUGGAUUUAGUGUAAUGCGUCAUUCAGAAAACUUUUUCAAG